rnacentral:rRNA from 1 species
UACGUAGGGGGCAAGCGUUGUCCGGAUUUAUUGGGCGUAAAGGGUGCGCAGGUGGUUUGGCAAGUUUGACGUGAAAGCCCCGGGCUUAACCCGGGAAUGGCGUUGAAAACUGCUUGAACUGGAGGAUUGGAGGGGGGACUGGAAUUCUUGGUGUAGCAGUGAAAUGCGUAGAUAUCAAGAGGAACACCAGUGGCGAAGGCGGCUUUCUGGACGAUAACUGACGCUGAGACGCGAAAGCGUGGGGAGCAAACAGG